rnacentral:rRNA from 1 species
CGCGUAGACGGUUUUGUAAGUCAGAUGUGAAAUCCCUGGGCUCAACCUGGGAACUGCAUUUGAAACUGCAUGGCUAGAGUAUGGUAGAGGGAAGUGGAAUUUCCGGUGUAGCGGUGAAAUGCGUAGAUAUCGGAAGGAACACCAGUGGCGAAAGCGACUUCCCGGACCAAUACUGACGUUCAUGUGCGAAAGCGUGGGGAGCAAACAGGAUUAGAUACCCUGGUAGUCCACGCCAUAAACGAUGACAACUAGAUGUUGGGAGGGUCUGCCUCUCGGUGUCGCAGCUAACGCGUUAAGUUGUCCGCCUGGGGAGUACGGCCGCAAGGUUGAA